ensembl:lncRNA
CCCACUUUCCUCCAAAAAGAAAGAGGAGAAAGAAGAGUGCAGUCAAAAAAAAGAAAGUGGUCACGAGCCGACUUCAGAAACGUCAGAAAUCACCCAGACGUGCAUCAGAUUCCGUGAACCCAGUGAGUGAGGAAGUCCAGCUCGAAGGAAUUGAAUCGACUGCAAGUCUUGGUUCUCCAUCCAUCCAGCUAUUGGGUCACCAAUACCGGAGUUCUCGGCCAACUCCAACUUGAGGGAUUGUAGUCCAGCCAAUGCCCUGGCCACGGACCCAUCUGGUGGCACAUGUACUUUUCUGCCUGGUAG